GGGGGCGAGUAGAGUGGCGCACGGGUGAGUAACACGUAGGUAAUCUACCUUCGGGUGGGGAAUAACCCAGGGAAACUUGGGCUAACACCGCAUAAUGCAGCGGCACCACAUGGUGACAGUUGUUAAAGCGGGGGAUUUUAGGACCUCGCGCCUGAAGAGGAGCCUGCGGCAGAUUAGCUAGUUGGUAAGGUAACGGCUUACCAAGGCGACGAUCUGUAACCGGCCUGAGAGGGCGGUCGGUCACACUGACACUGACAUACGGGUCAGACUCCUACGGGAGGCAGCAGUCGGGAAUUUUGGGCAAUGGGCGAAAGCCUGACCCAGCAACGCCGCGUGAAGGAUGAAAUCCCUCGGGAUGUAAACUUCGCAAGAUUGGGAAGAAUUAGUAGGGGUUAAUACCCCCUAUGAUGACGGUACCUUUUGUAAGCUCCGGCUAACUCCGUGCCAGCAGCCGCGGUAAUACGGGGGGAGCAAGCGUUGUUCGGAUUUACUGGGCGUAAAGGGCGCGUAGGCGGUCAGCACAAGUCAGUUGUGAAAUCUCCGGGCUUAACUCGGAAAGGUCAACUGAUACUGUGCGACUAGAGUGCAGAAGGGGCAACUGGAAUUCUCGGUGUAGCGGUGAAAUGCGUAGAUAUCGAGAGGAACACCUGCGGCGAAGGCGGGUUGCUGGGCUGACACUGACGCUGAGGCGCGAAAGCAGGGGAGCGAACGGGAUUAGAUACCCCGGUAGUCCUGGCCU
rnacentral:rRNA from 1 species